rnacentral:lncRNA from 1 species
AGUUGUUCUUGAACCAGUUCAACUUUUGCGACCACAUUUCCCACGGCUGUUUUAACGUUCUCCUGAUUUCUGUCAUUUCUGGCCAACUGUUGCCCAACUCCUUUCAACUUUUCAUUCAUUGCUGCCAAAUUAACUUUCACUGUAUCCAUUUCUUGUCUGAUUUCGUUGCAAUUGUGGCACUUGACUCUGCGUAGUUCACACACAGCUGUUUCAUGGUGUAGUAAAUCUUGUUUAUUCACCUCAAGUUGGCAUCCUUCGUUAGAGCAGACUGCUGGGGCGAACCCACAGUCAGUGACAUGCCUUUCGAGAUCUCCUAAUUCAACAAACUGUCUGCAACCACGAUCGAAGAAUUGAGAGCGGAUUUUCAAUUCGGAAAGUAAGUUCGUUACGGUCCGAGGUGCUUGGCGCAGUGAUUCGACAGUGAGUGGUUCCAUACACGAUAGACAUGUUUGAAAGUUCAUGAGAUGUAUGGUGAUACAAGCUCGAC